GUCAUCUGUCGUGCACCCGUUACUGCAGCUGGUUCCUCAACUGCAGGAGAGAAGAAUGAAGAGAUUCAGAGUGGACGAACAAUUCCAAGGUCCUAUUGCAAGACCAAAUCGAAGAUACUUUUUAUUCAGGCCACGCAAUGGAAGAAGGUCAGAAGGUUACAUUUAAAAUGAUUACCAACUAUUUUCCACAGAAGCAAUGCCAUGGAAUACAAAAUAUACUGACAUUUUGUUUUCUUCUCAAAAACAAUCCUUGCUAAAUUUAAUAUGUUUGAGAAUCCCUGUGUUAUAAACAUUUUCAGUAAAAGUUGGUUGAGAUUGUAAAUGUUUAAUUUGUUGAAAAUUUAAAAAGCAUCUUAAAAUAUUUUUUCUUAGGGUUGUAAUGAUAAGUAGUGUGUAAUAAGGCUAUGAAUAAUGAUGUUUCUUAAAUUCCUGCAGCUUUGAGAGUGCUGAUGUACAUGUUCUUUUGUUAUUUUUAUUAAAGGCACUCAGUAGAGACCUGAGUUUUAAUGAGCUAUUUUAGUUUAUCCUAUUUGGAUUUUUAUCAAUGACAAAAUCACCAGAAUGCCCAAGAGCUAAAAAAUCUUAGUACGUGAAUACCAACUAAACUUAUUGGAGGAUUUGGCCAUGAUCCAUCCAAUAGUCCAAUAAGCAAAUUCCUAUUUACAUUCUGUAAAAUUGAUGUCUGAUUGCUACAAACAUAUCAAGAGAUUAAUUUUUUCUACCAACUAGUAGUAUUUACUUUAUCUUAAAAUAAGUUAUUUUACCUUGUAACAUCUGAAAGUCAACCAGUCUUGUCCAUUACCAGAAAGAAAACUAUCUUACUAGUAGAGGAUCCUGAAUACACUGGGAGAACUUUUUGCAUCAGAUCACUGUUUGCUGGAUGCAGAAUUAACCUCAGAUGGGUGUUGAGAUUAUCUCCUUUCACGUUCCCCUAGGUUUUUCCUUUCUGACAACCCCCUCUUGCAUAACCACCUACUCCACCAAGCAGGUUGCUGGCUCUCUGAGUGGAUAGGAUUCAGUCUUACAUUCUUCAGAGUGUCUUGUCUGAAAACCUUUAUCUUGUUAAUGUUGACCACUGAUUAUAGCCUAAAUCACUACUUACACUAAUAAAGUCCUUAAAUCUCACUUCUCCUAAACCUGUGUGAAGAACAUAUGGAAAGAAGGGAGCAGAAUGAGACAAAAAGUGCAUUCUUUUUUAAAAAAUGAAUUGCCUUGUCAAGAUAGGAACUUGAAAGCUGAGAGGGCCUCUUGCUCUGAAGCCACAGAUGCAUGGGGCAACAUUAGCUAGUACUAUACACAGUAAUUCAACUAGCAUGAAUUUUGGGUUGUCAAAAUAAGAAAAGAAAAUCGAAUAUUAAUUUAAGCAGCAGUUCCCAGGCGUUCUCAGAAAGCCAGAAACUUAGGCCACUGACAUUUUUUAGAGCUCUCCGGUAUUAAAAUAAAGAAGAAGAAAUACCAAAACAUGGUUACC